rnacentral:rRNA from 1 species
GACGUAGGGGGCGAGCGUUGUCCGGAUUUAUUGGGCGUAAAGCGUGCGUAGGCGGCUGCGCAAGUCGGGUGUGAAACCCCGGGGCUCAACCCCGGAACUGCAUCCGAUACUGCGUGGCUAGAGGUAGGUAGGGGAGAUCGGAAUUCCAGGUGUAGCGGUGAAAUGCGUAGAUAUCUGGAGGAACACCGGUGGCGAAGGCGGCGUCCUGGACCAAUACUGACACUGAAACGCGAAAGCCAGGGGAGCAAACGGG